rnacentral:lncRNA from 1 species
GAUUCAUGUUCAGGACUUUCACAGGUGAGGGCUGGAAACCUCUCUUCAGCUCAGCAGUCCAUCCCCCGUCCCUCCCAUCUGCAACCCUAGAAGCAAAGAUGGUACACCACCCUUCUGGCCUCAGCUUUCAGUUUCCUGUCUUGGCUGCAACUGUGGAAAUAGUGAAGAUAUUGUGAGACAGAAAGUCAGUCUGGAACAAAGAGGUAUACACCUGCUAAGAAGGUGGCCCAGAAGCCUGAUUCUAGAAGUCCUAAAGGCUACAGAGCACCACCACCCCACCUGCCCCUAAUGCAUUCCAUGGGCCUCAACCUCUUGGGGGAAGAAAAUAUUUCCCAAGGUCUGUUGUAAAAAGAAAAUAGGGACCAGGCGCAGUGGCUCACGCCUGUAAUCCCAAGCAUUUUGGAAGGCCAAGGCAGGCAGAUUACUUGAGGUCAGGAGUUCAGGACCACCUGGCCAACAUGAUGAAGCCCCAUCUCUACUGAAAAUACAAAAAUUAGCCAGGCGUGGUGGCUCACACCUAUAAUCCCAGCUACUUGGGAGGCUGAGGCAGGAGAAUCGCUUGAACCCAGGAAGCAGAGGUUGCAGUGAGCCAAGAUCUAAUGACUACGCUCCAGCCUGGGCAACAGAGCAAGACUCCAUCGCAAAAAAAAAAAAAAAAAAAAAGACAUAGGAAGAGGUGUGUACCAUAACUUUUAAAUCCCAUUAUCCACUUUCCUUCUCACCACCAUCCUUCAUUCAAGAGCCUCAUUCUAUUCUUUAGCACUUUGAGGUGUGGAGACAGUGGAGGAACACGGAGAAAAAAAAUCGGGGGGUAGGGGUGUGGUGGCUCAUGCCUGUAAUCCCAGCACUUUGGAAGGCUGAGGUGGGUGGAUCACGGAUCACCUGAGGUUAGGAAUUCAAGACCAGCCUGGCCAACAUGGCGAAACCCCCGACUCUAACUAAAAAAAAAAAAAAAAAAAAAAAUUAAGCCAGGCAUGGUGGUAGGCUCCUGUAAUCCCAGCUACUCGGGAGCCUGAGGCAGGAGAAUCGCUUGAACCCAGGAGACGAAGGUUGCAGUGAGCCGGGAUCGCGCCAUUGCACUCCAUCCUGGGCGACAAGAGCGAAACUCUGUCUCAAAAAAAAAAAAAAAAAAAAGCGGGGUGGGGGGAAAUCAGGAGGAGAAAAGAAUUGGGCGAUUUGGAUCAAUACUUAACCAGGAAUGGAGUGGGCAGGAGCUGAGGGUUAAGGCUGCCUCUCACCACCCCACACACCCCCAGUAGAAGCACUAGAUGAAGGGAAGGGUGGAGAGGCAAGGGGCUAUAUCAGAUUUUUCCAUUUUCAGAAUCCUGUUCUGGCUGCAGGUUUGUGCCAGGAGUAAAGGCUGCUGGGAGGGGCAGCCGGAGGAGGGAGGUGGAGCUGAGUGACUCACAAGAUGAGUCACAGAUCCAGUUAUAAGCACAGAAAGAGGCCAAGGUCCUUCCCACCCCUACUCCUCUUAACUGCUGCCAGCCAGCUUCCGUUGCUCUUUUGUACUGCCCCUUACCCACUUGGCCAAUGCAAGAGAUGGCACAGAGAAAGUCUACAUGGGGACAUCGUAAUAUUUUGUUACCCAACUGAUGUAUGGUGGCAAAAUACCCUGUGAUUUGCAGACUGGCUGUCUGCAAAGUAGAAGAGACAGAAUGCCUGCAUGACUCAUCCAGAUCUAUAGUUGAAAGGCCUGGAGGGAAAGAAGGAAAUUAGAAAAAUCUGGAGUGCAGGUGAUUCCAGGCCGGGAAGGGGCUUCUAAUUCUGUCUUCUCACCUGUGGCUAUAUGUCUGGGGCACUGACUCAUUGGAGAAGGAAGACACAGAGGCCAGUCGCGGUGGCUCAUGCCUGUAAUCCCAGCACUUUGGGAGGCCGAGGCUGGCGGAUCACCUGAGGUCAGGAGUUCAAGAUCAGCCUGGCCAACAUGGUGAAACCCCAUCUCUACUAAAAUACAAAAAUUAGCCGGGCAUGAUUGCGGGUGCCUGUAAUCCCAGCCACCUGGGAGGCUGAGACAGGAGAAUCACUUGAACCCAGGAGACGGUGGUUGGAGUGAGCCGAGAUUGCACCACUGCACUCCAGCCUGGGCAGCUGAGCGAGACUCCGUCUCAAACCAAAAAAAAAAGAAAGAAAGAAAAAGGAAAAAGAAAGAAGACUCAGAGUCCAGAGGUGUCUGAGUAAUUCAGAGACAAUCAUCUCUGAAAUACUCUUUAUUGAGAAAAAAAAAUGUGACUGGAACCUUGGACACAUGGCUAAAAGGAGUUAAGAAUGGCAAAAGCUAGGUUCUCAGAACACAUUCAAAACCAGCUUUAUUCUUUUGGGCUCAGUAUCACCCCGCAGAUAUACAACACGAAGUCACUGCUAAUUCUUGUUUGUCUGUGGGCCUUAGUUUCGCUUGAUAGAAAAAAAAAAACUGAGCUAAUAGAGGGAAGGUACUUCCCUUCCACUGCCCUCUACAGCACUGAGUUUAACACCAUCUCCACUCCUUAAAAAGACUGAAUCUUUAAAAAAUCUUUGGAUAUAAUCUUUUUA